ensembl:lncRNA novel transcript
AUGGCACCAUUCCUGGAGUUAGGCCUUCAACCAAAGAGCUGGGCCAUCCGUGGCAAUGCCUCCCAGGCUUGGGAGCUGGGAAAAGGCCCCAGGAGCUAGGGCAUCCUGAUUGUUCUUUCAAAGAAAUCCCUCUUGUUCUUAGUCAACAUGCUGGAUACCAGCUAAAAAAUGCAAAAUGAUCUUCAGGCAGGGAUGGCACAGGACCCUUGCUGAGCUGUGAAGCCUGGCUGUGAGGAUUCCUGCAUGGAAACAUCAACAUGUUGCCAGAUUGGUAUACGACUCAACACCACACUGACAUGCUGCUCCCAAACAGUGCCUUUGAAUCAAGACCCAGUCAUCGUAUUCGAAGAAAAAGGAAAUAUCCCUGACCAUGUUGGGACUUAACACUGCUUCACAGAGGGAAGCUUUCACACCACAUUUUGUUUCCUGACAAGAGAAGGAGAAAUCGUUGGCCUCUGCGUGACAUGGAGGGUCCCCCCACCUGCAAGCUUUUGUGUUUGCUGGAUCUUGGACAGUACCCUGGCGAAAAGCAUUCGGCAAGAUUAUCCGGCUAGCACAGCCUUCAAGGAAUAAAUAUCUAACACCUUGUUCCCUUUUGCGGUUCAAAAGCCACUGUCACUGGGGUACAUAGGCAGUUUUAAAAAAGGCUACAAUUCAUAUGCAAACUAGAGGAGGAUUUCCAUGAUUUCAUAAUAAAAUGUUGAAACGCUUUGAUCUGGAGUUGUAAGGAGGUGUGAAACAGUGCCUCCGAAACAGACAGAUAUUUGUGUAAUCAUCCUUUAUGUAUUGCCAGUGCGGAAUAAUAACAUAUCAAAGCCCCAACCUACCUCAUCUGCCUGGUACAGCCAAGGCAUAAAUAAAGGGGAACAAUGGAAUUACUAUUACUCACUCUCCGAGAGCCAGCGACAUCACUGUAUCCUUUAUAAUUGCUGGCAAGAAGAUUAAUGUUUUGUUAAAUAUCAGAGCAAGGUCACAAGGGGGCUUGCAGGCCUGUCUAAACAUCUAGUCUUUAAGCUCCUUCUCCCUCACUUGCUCUUUUUUGCGGAAAUGAACUUGUAGCAUUUCCUCUAAUUAUGGUGAUUUUUGCUACUGAAAGCGGGCCUACAUCAUCGCUUGACUCUGAACAUGCUCACACACACAUGCAUGCAUGCUCACACACACAUGCAUGCAUACACACACACACAUAUACACACACACAUCUUCCCCAAAUAAUAUUUGGGGACAGGCCUGACUUAACUGCAGAAUAUGGGCAACGUUGUUAUGAGGUGACCUUGGCCUUUUAACCAACGUGGAUAAUUCAUUGCCUGUCGCUGUGCACAGCUCGUGCUUAAAAAGUGAACUUUAUUGGGGUCCUCAGGGGGCUCCCUAGCAAAGACUGGUAUCAUCGUUCAUUGCGCUUCUGUUUUGUUUAGCCCAUACGCCUGUCCAUACAGAUGUUUCCAACAGCAAACAGUUCAUGACCCAGAAAGAAAAAAA